rnacentral:misc_RNA from 1 species
AAAAGUCAUCAAAAUCGGCCAGAGAAAAGUUAGGCAUUGAAAGGGCUCUUCAAAUUAUUACUCUUGACAUGUCUCAGAUUUUGUAUGAUUCAAAACCACUUUCUUUCUUCUGCUCACGCAACAGUUGACACUUUCCUUUCACAUCUGAGUUGUUCGUGAUCUACAUUCAUUCAAAAGUUUGUAUUUUUUUUUUAUUAGUUGAUCCUA